rnacentral:rRNA from 1 species
CGCUGGCGGCGUGCUUAACACAUGCAAGUCGAACGGGAUCCUGCAAGCUUGCUUGCGGGUGAGAGUGGCGAACGGGUGAGUAAUGCGUGACCAACCUGCCCCAUGCUCCGGAAUAGCUCCUGGAAACGGGUGGUAAUGCCGGAUGUGCCGGGCUCCUGCAUGGGGGUCCGGGAAAGCUCUGGCGGCGUGGGAUGGGGUCGCGUCCUAUCAGCUUGUUGGCGGGGUGAGGGCCCACCAAGGCUUCGACGGGUAGCCGGCCUGAGAGGGCGACCGGCCACAUUGGGACUGAGAUACGGCCCAGACUCCUACGGGAGGCAGCAGUGGGGAAUAUUGCACAAUGGGCGCAAGCCUGAUGCAGCGACGCCGCGUGCGGGAUGGAGGCCUUUCGGGUUGUAAACCGCUUUUGUUUGGGAGCAAGCCCUUCGGGGUGAGUGUACCUUUCGAAUAAGCACCGGCUAACUACGUGCCAGCAGCCGCGG